rnacentral:rRNA from 1 species
UGAGGAAUAUUGGACAAUGGAUGGAAAUCUGAUCCAGCCAUGCCGCGUGCCGGAAGAAUGUCCUAUGGAUUGUAGACUGCUUUUGUAUGGAAGCAAUAAGGUCUUCGUGAAGGCCGAUGAGAGUACCAUACGAAUAAGCACCGGCUAACUCCGUGCCAGCAGCCGCGGUAAUACGGAGGGUGCAAGCGUUAUCCGGAUUUAUUGGGUUUAAAGGGUGCGUAGGCGGUUAUAUAAGUCAGCGGUGAAAUUUUUCGGCUCAACCGGAAACAUGCCGUUGAUACUGUAUAGCUUGAAUAUGGUUGCUGUGGGUGGAAUGUGUGGUGUAUCGUUGAAAUGCUUAGAUAUCACACAGAAUAUCGAUUGCGAAUGCAUCUCACAAAGCCAUUAUUGACGCUGAUGCACGAAAGUGUGGGAAUCAAACA